AACGAACGCUGGCGGCAGGCCUAACACAUGCAAGUCGAGCGAGACCUUCGGGUCUAGCGGCGGACGGGUGAGUAACGCGUGGGAACGUGCCCUUUGGUACGGAAUAGCCCCGGGAAACUGGGAGUAAUACCGUAUAAGCUCUUCGGAGGAAAGCUAUAUGCGCUAGGGGAGAGAUUUGCGUCCUAUUAGCUAGUUGGUGAGGUAAUGGCUCACCAAGGCGACGAUAGGUAGCCGGCCUGAGAGGGUGAACGGCCACAAGGGGACUGAGACACGGCCCUUACUCCUACGGGAGGCAGCAGUGGGGAAUAUUGGACAAUGGACCAAAAGUCUGAUCCAGCAAUUCUGUGUGCUUGAUGAAGGCCUUCGGGUUGUAAAGAGCUUUAAGUAGGGAAGAAGAAAGUGACGGUACCUACAGAAUAAGCGACGGCUAAAUACGUG
rnacentral:rRNA from 1 species